GCAAGACCCGCCCCCAAACCUGCCACCGCUCCCUGGUCACAACAAGAACACAACUAACAACAAUUAGUCAGGGUUUGCUCAGAGCAGGCGGCCCAUGGACAGAAGCUACUGUAGUCCCAAUGAGGGAUAGGUUUGUCUUCUUAUCCUGACGCUCUUUGGUGCAUGUCAUCCACUCUCUCUCUCCCCCAUUUACUAUCACUCUUGCUUUCCUAUCCAGUUGAGUGAUACAAUUCUUGAUUGAGUGUGUGAGUGCAGGUGUGCAUCUUUAGAUUGGGUUAUGGGGUAUUGAUUUUUGUUGAGUUUAUCAUUUUUUUCCAAAAAUAU